AAUGGGGUAACAACAAUUUUUUUUCAGAUUCUUAGUGGUGCUAAAAUCUGAACAGAAUCUGGCCUUUGCUCUUUCAUGUACAGCAUUUGAUUAAUUGUGAUUCCAAAAGGUAAUAUUGGCUUUAAAUUUAUCUCUUAACAACUGAUCUUCCUGUUUUUUGUUUGUUUUUUAAUACUUUUUUUCUGCAUAGUUGUUUGCCAUCACUUUCAGCAAGGGUGCAUAAUGAAACACAGACACUUGGAAACAGAGGAGUGUUGGGGGCAGGGUAUGUGAAAGCCUGUGUGAUGUUAGUACAUACACGUGUCACACUCCUAAGCCAGGAACCAGAUUUCCAGUUGUUUUUGAGUGUAUGUACAAAAAGGCAUGAUUUCUGCUGCUCAUCUCUCUCUGAGUUAUUAAAAAAAAAACAGGCCGUACAAGGAAAUAGUUCAGAAAAGGAAAAUGAUAGAUAUGAUUUCUGCUCCCUAUCAGUCCUCUUGUGGCUUAGAAAUGUAUACUUAUUUAGAGUUAUAUUUUCAUUUUUGGGAGACAUACUGUAUUUUAAGUAAGCAAAUUCCUAUUUCCAUAGGUGUAAGCUUGAGCACUCUGGUUCAGUGUGUGCAUGUCUUAGUCUACUUUUGGCACUAUGUAGUUCAGGUUAUGUGCUCUUCUCUGCUAGGUUCAGGCACCCAAGUACGUGCUUAUGUGAGUGGGAGUACAACGUACCUACGCCUACCUACGUGUGCUUACCUACAGACAUUUUUAUUUUCAAUGUUCUGAUUCCAGCGGCCUUUUCAAGAGACAAAAGAAAGUUAAAAUUAGAGCCUAAAAACAAUGGAUUUGCAGCAGCCAGCACAAUGCCAGUCUGCACUGUUGUGAAAGACCUGUGCAUAAACAUUCAUAGGGAUGAAUUCAGAGGUGAUGGGCAACACAGACUGAGGAAAAGGAGCCCAGAGAGUAGCGCACACAAAACUUUUACCGGUUCCUUUUUAUGGUUAUUGAAUGCCCACAUUACCUGAAAGUGGAAUUUAUUGUGCUGAGUGUUAAACUCUAAGUUUUACAAAUAAGCUUCCGUACAAAAAUAUUUAUUAUCUGUAACGUACAUCAUCAGCUCUUACACUCCCACUGCGUUCAUCCAUUGUCUCCCAAUACAGUUACCGUGAACGUAUGUCAGAAUAUACGUCAGCCUCAGAAAUACACACUUGUACU
rnacentral:lncRNA from 7 species